CGGGGUGAUUUGUUGGAUGCUAGCGGCGGAUGGGUGAGUAACACGUGGGCAAUCUGCCCUAAAGACUGGGAUACCACUUGGAAACAGGUGCUAAUACCGGAUAACAACAUGAAUCGCAUGAUUCAAGUUUGAAAGGCGGCGCAAGCUGUCACUUUAGGAUGAGCCCGCGGCGCAUUAGCUAGUUGGUGGGGUAAAGGCCUACCAAGGCAAUGAUGCGUAGCCGAGUUGAGAGACUGAUCGGCCACAUUGGGACUGAGACACGGCCCAAACUCCUACGGGAGGCAGCAGUAGGGAAUCUUCCACAAUGGACGAAAGUCUGAUGGAGCAACGCCGCGUGAGUGAAGAAGGUCUUCGGAUCGUAAAGCUCUGUUGUUGGUGAAGAAGGAUAGAGGCAGUAACUGGUCUUUAUUUGACGGUAAUCAACCAGAAAGUCACGGCUAACUACGUGCCAGCAGCCGCGGUAAUACGUAGGUGGCAAGCGUUGUCCGGAUUUAUUGGGCGUAAAGCGAGCGCAGGCGGAAUGAUAAGUCUGAUGUGAAAGCCCACGGCUCAACCGUGGAACUGCAUCGGAAACUGUCAUUCUUGAGUGCAGAAGAGGAGAGUGGAACUCCAUGUGUAGCGGUGGAAUGCGUAGAUAUAUGGAAGAACACCAGUGGCGAAGGCGGCUCUCUGGUCUGCAACUGACGCUGAGGCUCGAAAGCAUGGGUAGCGAACAGGAUUAGAUACCCUGGUAGUCCAUGCCGUAAACGAUGAGCGCUAGGUGUUGGGGACUUUCCGGUCCUCAGUGCCGCAGCAAACGCAUUAAGCGCUCCGCCUGGGGAGUACGACCG
rnacentral:rRNA from 1 species